GAUGAACGCUAGCGACAGGCUUAACACAUGCAAGUCGAGGGGCAGCACAGGUAGCAAUACCGGGUGGCGACCGGCGCACGGGUGAGUAACGCGUAUGCAACUUACCUAUCAGAGGGGGAUAACCCGGCGAAAGUCGGACUAAUACCGCAUGAAGCAGGGGUCCCGCAUGGGGAUAUUUGCUAAAGAUUCAUCGCUGAUAGAUAGGCAUGCGUUCCAUUAGGCAGUUGGCGGGGUAACGGCCCACCAAACCGACGAUGGAUAGGGGUUCUGAGAGGAAGGUCCCCCACAUUGGUACUGAGACACGGACCAAAAUCCUACGGGAGGCAGCAGUGAGGAAUAUUGGUCAAUGGCCGAGAGGCUGAACCAGCCAAGUCGCGUGAGGGAUGAAGGUUCUAUGGAUCGUAAACCUCUUUUAGAAGGGAAUAAAGUGCGGGACGUGUCCCGUUUUGUAUGUACCUUAUGAAUAAGGAUCGGCUAACUCCGUG
rnacentral:rRNA from 1 species